AACAAUCUCUUUCUAAAUCCAUGUGAUUCAUGUGUGCAUAUUAUGGAUGUAAAAAAAUCAUGAAGUUAAGUACAAUUUAUCUAUGCAUUAUCCAAUUUGAAUUGAUGUUGAAUUGACGUGUAUCUAUUUAUUUACUCAUGUAUUGUAGGGCUCUAUUGUACCUUGGUCAGUUAGCUAGCUCUUAUAUGGGUGAUAUUAAUCAGUCGCACUACAACAUAACUAUUAACAAAAUAUUUCAAAGUACUGAAUUGAAAAUGGGGAACACGGUUGUCGUCUGGCAUCACUACGGAAUCAAAGAGUAAGCGGUGAGUGGCUAGCGGUGUUAUGGCGUCUGCAACAAGUGGCUGUGGCAUCUGCGGUGAAUGGUUAACAACAUUACAGUGUCUCUGUCGGAAGGUUGAAUCUGAGAAGAAAAGAAGGUGCUCAUGUUCCAUAUAAGGACAGUAAACUUACUUGGUUUCUAGAGAUCGGUUUACUUGUCUUGUACGGCGUCAGUUGUUGUUGCUGGACGGCGAUCUCUAAGAAGCUUGACCCAGGAUUUUUACAUAAGACGUCAUCUGAAGUUCUUUUUGAAAGGGGAAGCAAUGUUGUCACCAUGGACAACCACAAAACUUCCCAUCAUCUUCAUAUGAAGCUGCCAUGGAGAAACUUUCAUCUCUUAUUACUCGCCAACGGAAUGAGGAGAAGCCACCCGUUCCUAAUAAAUUAGGAAGGAUGUCAAUGUAU